rnacentral:lncRNA from 1 species
CCAGCAGGAAAUCCUGCAGUGUCCUGGGAAGAACAAGGAUGCUCAGAGUUCAAAUCCUGCUUGGUUACCUAAACUCUCUGGACUUCUGUGUCUCUAUCUCUAAAAUGGCCAUCAACUCAAAUGGCUAUGGGAAAAUUAAAUGAGACUGAGCACCUGUGUAGAUAUUGUGAAAUACCAGAUCAUAAAGGACAGAGGAAUCCUGAAGAGGAUAAAAUCAUAGAGACAUGGGGCCAGUUAACGUUACUGAAGGAGCUGAGCUUGGAGGAGAUGAAGCUACAGUCACUGGAGAAACUGAACCGAGGAUGGAUGAGAGCUCCAACCAGGACACAUAAGAGGAUGACCAGCUGAGGUUAAGUGACAUGGAGUGGCUCCAAUCCACAAGAUUAUGAAUGUUAUGUUGAGGUCGCCUUUUCAUAAUGAAUCUGGAACUUGAGAGCGACAAACCUUGCCCGACAAUCUUUCCUUCAAGCUGGGAGAGCUGCCGGCGCUGCGGAUGUAAGU